rnacentral:lncRNA from 1 species
CCUUAGUGUUUGUUGCGCCAUCCAUCUCAUCUGUCAGCCUAGUGUUUGUUGCUCCAUCCUUCCCUCUGUCAGCAUUAGUGUUUGUUAUCUCCAUCCAUCUCCUCUGUCAGCCUUAAUGUUUGUUUACUCCAUCCUUCUCCUCUAUCAGCCUUAGUGUUUGUUCUCAGCCUUCCCUCUUCAGCCUAGUGUUUGUUGCUCCAUCCUUCUCCUCUGUCAGCCUUAGUGUUUUGUGCUCCAUCCUUCUCCUCUGUCAGCCUAGUGUUUGUUACUCAUCAUCUAUCUCCUCCUUAGUGUUUGUUGCUCCACCAUCUCCUCUGUCAGCCUUAGUGUUUGUUACUCCAUCCAUCUCCCCUUAGUGUUUGUUGCUCCAUCCAUCUCCUCUGUCAGCCUUAGUGGUUGUUGCUCCAUCCAUCUCUCUGUCAGCCUUAGUGUUUGUUCUCCAUCCAUCCCCCUUGGUUUGUUACCCAUCUCUCUCUGUCAGCCUUAGGUUUGUUACUCCAUCCAUCUCAUCUGUCAACCUUAGUGUUUGUUACUCCAUCCAUCUCCCCUUAGUGUUUGUUACUCCAUCCUUCUCCUCUGUCAGCCUUAGUGUUUGUUACUCCAUCCAUCUCCUCUGUCAACCUUAGUGUUUGUUACUCCAUCCUUCUCCCUCUGCCAGCCUUAGUGUUUGUUGCCCACAAUUCUCCUCUGUCAGCCUUAGUGUUGUUGGCUCAAUCCU